rnacentral:misc_RNA from 1 species
AAGUCGUAACAAGGUCUCCGUAGGUGAACCUGCGGAGGGAUCAUUAACGAAUGAGCCCGAGUGGCCAUCCAUCUACACCAUACCCGUGGAUGUGAAGAGUGCUUCGGUGCCCCCCCGAUGGCGCCGUCUCUAUGCUGCUGAGACUUGACGUCUGAAACAAGAUCAGUGUCGAAAAACUUUCAACAAAGGAUCUCUUGGCUCUU